rnacentral:rRNA from 1 species
UACGGAGGGGGGCUAGCGUUGUUCGGAAUUACUGGGCGUAAAGCGUACGUAGGCGGCUUUGUAAGUUAGAGGUGAAAGCCCGGGGCUCAACUCCGGAAUUGCCUUUAAGACUGCAUCGCUUGAAUCAUGGAGAGGUGAGUGGAAUUCCGAGUGUAGAGGUGAAAUUCGUAGAUAUUCGGAAGAACACCAGUGGCGAAGGCGACUCACUGGACAUGUAUUGACGCUGAGGUACGAAAAGCGUGGGGAGCAAACAGG